rnacentral:rRNA from 1 species
GAGUGGCGAACGGGUGAGUAAUACAUCGGAACGUGCCCUGUAGUGGGGGAUAACUAGUCGAAAGAUUAGCUAAUACCGCAUACGACCUGAGGGUGAAAGUGGGGGACCGCAAGGCCUCAUGCUAUAGGAGCGGCCGAUGUCUGAUUAGCUAGUUGGUGGGGUAAAGGCCCACCAAGGCGACGAUCAGUAGCUGGUCUGAGAGGACGAUCAGCCACACUGGGACUGAGACACGGCCCAGACUCCUACGGGAGGCAGCAGUGGGGAAUUUUGGACAAUGGGCGAAAGCCUGAUCCAGCAAUGCCGCGUGUGUGAAGAAGGCCUUCGGGUUGUAAAGCACUUUUGUCCGGAAAGAAAUGGCUCUGGUUAAUACCUGGGGUCGAUGACGGUACCGGAAGAAUAAGGACCGGCUAACUACGUGCCAGCAGCCGCGGUAAUACGUAGGGUCCAAGCGUUAAUCGGAAUUACUGGGCGUAAAGCGUGCGCAGGCGGUUGUGCAAGACCGAUGUGAAAUCCCCGAGCUUAACUUGGGAAUUGCAUUGGUGACUGCACGGCUAGAGUGUGUCAGAGGGGGGUAGAAUUCCACGUGUAGCAGUGAAAUGCGUAGAGAUGUGGAGGAAUACCGAUGGCGAAGGCAGCCCCCUGGGAUAACACUGACGCUCAUGCACGAAAGCGUGGGGAGCAAACAGGAUUAGAUACCCUGGUAGUCCACGCCCUAAACGAUGUCAACUAGUUGUUGGGGAUUCAUUUCCUUAGUAACGUAGCUAACGCGUGAAGUUGACCGCCUGGGGAGUACGGUCGCAAGAUUAAAACUCAAAGGAAUUGACGGGGACCCGCACAAGCGGUGGAUGAUGUGGAUUAAUUCGAUGCAACGCGAAAAACCUUACCUACCCUUGACAUGCCACUAACGAAGCAGAGAUGCAUUAGG